rfam:Apaloderma vittatum contig58144, whole genome shotgun sequence.
GGCCAGUUAGCUCAGUCAGUUAAGCAUAGCGCUAACAACGCUAAGGUCAUGGGUUCGAUUCCCGUUGGGUCC